rnacentral:rRNA from 1 species
AUGGACGCCGACGACCCCUCCACCUCGCUCGCCGUCACCGCGGCCGGCGCGCCCCAGAGCAGCGCCAAGAAAAAGCCGGCCCCCAAGCGGUUCAUCCACACCCCGAUCCCGGCCUCCAUCCUCAACGACCCCACCCUCGCCGCCGCCGCCACCUCGCUCCUCCCGGCGGCCUACAACUUCGAGCUCCACAAGACGGCGCACCGCAUCCGCUCCUCGGGCGCGCGCCGCGCCGCGCUGCAGCUCCCCGAGGGCCUGCUCCUCUUCUCGCUGCCCCUCUCCCACCUCCUCGGCCCCUUCCUCGCCGAGGACCCCUCCAACGACGUCCUCAUCCUCGCCGACCCCACCUACGGCGCCUGCUGCCUCGGCGACCGCCCCGCCAAGGCCCUCGCCGCCGACCUCCUCGUCCACUACGGCCACUCCUGCCUCGUCCCCGUCACCUCCUCGCUCCUCCCCGUGCUCUACGUCUUCGUCGAGAUCCGCGUCGACGCGCUCCGCCUCGCCGCCGCCGUCCGCGGCGCCUUCCCGGACCCCGCCGCCGCGCCCCGCCUAGCCCUCGCCGGCACCGUGCAGUUCAUCGCCGCGGUGCACGCCGCGCGCGAGAUGCUCACGCGGGACGGCUACCGCGACAUCGUCGUGCCGCAGGCCAAGCCGCUCUCCGCCGGCGAGAUCCUCGGGUGCACGGCGCCCACGCUGAAGAAGGCGGAGGGGGUGGGCGUGGUGGUGUUCGUCGCCGACGGCAGGUUCCACCUCGAGGCCUUCAUGAUUGCCAACCCUGCGGUGAAGGCCUACCGGUUUGAUCCCUUUCUUGGUGUGCUUGUGCUGGAGGAGUAUGACCAUGUUGGGAUGAAGCAGGCGAGGAAGGAGGCGGUGCUGGCGGCGAGGAAGGCCAAGAGCUGGGGGGUUGUGCUCGGCACGCUGGGACGGCAGGGGAGUUUAAAGGUCCUUGACCGGGUGGUGGAGCAUCUGGAGGAGAAAGGUUUGGAUCACACGGUGGUGCUCAUGUCGGAGCUCUCCCCGACGAGGAUGGAGCUAUUCGGGGAUUCCGUGGAUGCAUGGGUGCAGAUUGCAUGCCCUCGGUUGUCGAUCGAUUGGGGGGAGGGUUUCAAGAGGCCGGUGCUCACAACAUUUGAGUUUGAUGUUGCACUGGGUUAUGUUCCUGGGUGGUGGGAGAAGGGGAGUAGGCAAAAUGGCGGCGGUGGAGGUGGCAGUGGUUGUUGUUCAGCUUCAGGAACUUGUGGAAAUGGUGAUUGUAGUAGUGGCGAUUGUGGUGGAGAUGAUUUUGGAGGGGAAUACCCGAUGGAUUACUAUUCGCAGGACGGGGGUGAUUGGAAUGGCUGCUACAUGAAGAAGAAACCCUCCACUGGCGAGAGAAAGCCGCGAGUUCGAAUCGGCAGUAGUGUCCAAGUCGAGGAGAAGCAAUGA